rnacentral:tRNA from 1 species
CGGGGUGUAGCGCAGUUUGGUAGCGCGCUUGAAUGGGGUUCAAGAGGUCGAAAGUUCAAAUCUUUUCACUCCGACCA